rnacentral:rRNA from 1 species
UACGUAGGGUGCAAGCGUUAAUCGGAAUUACUGGGCGUAAAGCGUGCGCAGGCGGUUGUGCAAGACCGAUGUGAAAUCCCCGGGCUUAACCUGGGAAUGGCAUUGGUGACUGCACGGCUAGAGUGUGUCAGAGGGGGGUAGAAUUCCACGUGUAGCGGUGAAAUGCGUAGAUAUCUGGAGGAAUACCGGUGGCGAAGGCGGCAUCCUGGACCGGCAUUGACGCUGAGGAGCGAAAGCUAGGGGAGCAAACGGG